UCUAUUAUUAUCUAGUGUAACAGUUAAAAUGAUAAUAACAGAAUCAAUAAUAUAGGCGGUUGCAGGCCCAAAAAGCAUUAAAUAGCUGAAGAAUUAAAAUUAAUCAAAGGACGUACUAAGUAAGUCUACCUGCUGGAAAUAAUAGUCAAAACUUUUAUUUAAAUCGCCGAAAAAAACUGGUGAUAACUACAGAAAUCAACCGUAUGCUAGGACAAUCUCUCAACAUGCAUUCAAGUAUUUGGACUCACGUGGACUGCAUUAUAGUUCUGGACUGGCAUUAUAGCUCCAUCUUCCUCAGUACGCUUUGCCACGUUGAAGUCUGCGCUGCAACUUCAUUUUGCGCCGAAACAUGGCAGCCACCUGGGUGAAAAUAAUUUCAAUACGGAGCAAAUAAUUCAGGAGAAAAUAUUUGUGAAGAUAUUAUUGACUCUAUUAUUAUCUAGUGUAACUAUUAAAAGUGGUAAUAACAAAAUCAAUUAAAAAUUAUAACAGAACCAAUAUUUUCUUGCUUAAAAGCCUAUUAGGUUAACCAAAGCCAGCAUACGCACACAUACAUGUGGUGUGUGUGUGUGUGUGUGUGAGUGUGUGUAUGCUGGCCUUGGUUAACCUAAUAGGCUUUUAGCCAAGAAAACAUUAGUAACGACUGGAAUUUUCUCCAUUAACGGUAACAUUAUAUAAAAGAAGCUCUAAAUAGUAAAGACCGUAAACACUCCGAUUAAUCAGAAACAAUGAAGAAUAUAGUUUUUCUGCACAAAAAAAGAACGCUUGCAGUUGAUUUGAAUUCUUGGCUCAUAAUCUGAUAACAUUAAUACUUUAAAUAAUCUAUUCUCACAUCUCUACCUUCAUGACAGAAAGAAUGUAAUGAGAUUUAGAAAUGUCUGUAAGAAAAUUACACAAUGAUUAUUUAAGCAACUCUAGAGGUGUUGACAGGCCUAUUUCAGAUGACUUACGAAGGCAAAACAAUCUGUAUAGUUUCAAGUGAUUAAGUUUAUAUGUUGCAUAAUGGUACUAACAAUAUUAUUUCAGGGAUGAAUAAUUACUAUAACACAUCAUAAUUUUAAGGAUAAGUUUUCCCAAAUUGUUAGGUGUAGUGUCGAAAUGUCUCUAAUCUACAUCUAGAAAAGCGCCAACAGACUUACUGUCUUUAAGUCACUCACCUCCAGCUUCAACUUAUGGUCCACAGACGCACUGUCUCCUCUCUAUCUUUGCUCAUACCAUUAUAAUGGCCACAAUUCUUCGGAGGUGGCUGGGCUCAUGUCAUUUCUAUUCAGGCAUCCCUGAUCCAUCCGUAUCUAUUCUCAUUACUUUUGCUGUGCCCAACCUUCCACGUCCUGCACUAAUUACUACGCCCAAUCUUUCUUUCCUAAAAUGGCCACUCUCUGGGGGGUUUUCCCAGCUCUUUUUUUUUCUUUCAUGUAUUGACUCACAAAGGUUCAACAGGAACGUUAAUUAUAUCAAAGUCUUGGAGGGGCUGCAAAGACCAUGGGCAUUGUCCCUUUUUCCAGAUCCAUCAAAUAAAAACACAACAGCCAACUGAGAGGUCGGCGAGUAUUGUGUUGUUCUUAUUUCCAAGAUCUUUAACUCUUAAAUACACCUGUCUAACUCGCAAUAAAUAGAUACAACAGAGUUAGAACAACUCGUCAUUUCAAGCAGUGAUAGCAUUGUACAAUUUACUAGCUUGAAGUGCCAACGUCAGCCAUACUUGUAGAUUCGUCAGGUAUAUUUUGUCAAGAUACGCUAUAUGAAGCUGGAGUCUUCAGUGGUGCUGCGACAAUUUGACAGAUUAAUGUAGACGCCAUUCGAUAAUUGCUACAUAACAUUAUUAGGAAGUAUACUUUUGCAAAAAACUAUUUACACUGUUACCUGUAUAAAGUGUUAUCUUCAUUAAAAUAUACAAGAUAUUAUCAAACCGAAAUACAUCAACAGUUGUAAUAUGAAAGAAUUUUGAAGAAUUUUAUCUUUAAAGAUAUUUAUCGUUAAAGAGUCUAGAAAUUUUCUAGCAAAAGAUAACAGAAAUGACGUAGUUUUAUAACGAUUAACUGUAGUUGAUUUUCUUUCGCCCAAAGUCAGCCCUGAUCAAACAAAGUUAUUAUCAAUCAUUACUAUUCUGCCGUUUCCUCUGAUAUAAUGUAUAUUGGGUAACAUUGUCUAAUGAGUUCCUUCUUCUAUAAAGAUAUUUGGGUAUGAUUUUUUUUUUACAUAAGGUAAAUAGAAUCACAUCGUCUAAUACGACCCUCUUUCCUUUAAGAUAUCUAGAUACGAUUUUUCUUCCAGCUUAAUGUAUAUAGGGUUGCAUCAUGUAAUGUAUCCCUUAUUUAUAAAGAUAUUUGGGUAUGAUAUAAGGAAGAUAAGAAUCUUAUUUCUAGUGGUUCGAGUAACCACGUUGAGGCUGCCUGGUUAUUUAUUAUUCAUCCGCCCAUCCUAAACACACACUUUAAGGCAUAUGCCUUUGUUUUAAAGUUAGAAAAAGUAUUCUUAUUAUGAUGGACAUCAUUAAGGC
rnacentral:lncRNA from 1 species